rnacentral:lncRNA from 1 species
CCUCCACUUGGAGCUCGACCUCGCACCGGGCUCCCCCUAGCUCCUGAAGCUCCAUCUCGCACUAGGCUUCCUGCCAGAUAGUAAUAUCUUUUUAUCCUCUUCUUUUUCUCCAAUAUCAUUCUAUCAUCGCACAUAACCUUCAGGAUUCCAUCACCAGCUACCCACCUAUAGCCAUUUGAAUUCAGUCUGCUAGUGAGAUAAGAUUCUACCA